CGGCGGACGGGUGAGUAACACGUGGAUAACCUACCUAUAAGACUGGGAUAACUUCGGGAAACCGAGCUAAUACCGGAUAAUAUAUUGAACCGCAUGGUUCAAUAGUGGAAGACGGUUUUGCUGUCACUUAUAGAUGGAUCCGCGCCGCAUUAGCUAGUUGGUAAGGUAACGGCUUACCAAGGCAACGAUGCGUAGCCGACCUGAGAGGGUGAUCGGCCACACUGGAACUGAGACACGGUCCAG
rnacentral:rRNA from 1 species